UUUGGUUUAGUUUAGUGGCGGACGGGUGAGUAACGCGUGGGUAACCUGCCCUAUACAGGGGGAUAACAGUUGGAAACGACUGUUAAUACCGCAUAAGCGCACAGGAGCGCAUGCUCCGGUGUGAAAAACUCCGGUGGUAUAGGAUGGACCCGCGUCUGAUUAGCUGGUUGGCGGGGUAACGGCCCACCAAGGCGACGAUCAGUAGCCGGCCUGAGAGGGUGGACGGCCACAUUGGGACUGAGACACGGCCCAAACUCCUACGGGAGGCAGCAG
rnacentral:rRNA from 1 species